GCCUGGGUGGCUCAGUCGGUUAAGUGUCUGACUUCGGCUCAGGUCAUGAUCUAGCGGUAUGUGGGUUCGAGUCCUGCGUCAGGCU
rnacentral:tRNA from 1 species